rnacentral:rRNA from 1 species
GACGAACGCUGGCGGCGUGCUUAACACAUGCAAGUCGAACGGAAAGGCCCUGCUUUUGUGGGGUGCUCGAGUGGCGAACGGGUGAGUAACACGUGAGUAACCUGCCCUUGACUUUGGGAUAACUUCAGGAAACUGGGGCUAAUACCGGAUAGGAGCUCCUGCUGCAUGGUGGGGGUUGGAAAGUUUCGGCGGUUGGGGAUGGACUCGCGGCUUAUCAGCUUGUUGGUGGGGUAGUGGCUUACCAAGGCUUUGACGGGUAGCCGGCCUGAGAGGGUGACCGGCCACAUUGGGACUGAGAUACGGCCCAGACUCCUACGGGAGGCAGCAGUGGGGAAUAGUGCACAAUGGGAGGAAGCCUGAUGCAGCAACGCCGCGUGCGGGAUGACGGCCUUCGGGUUGUAAACCGCUUUCGCCUGUGACGAAGCGUGAGUGACGGUAAUGGGUAAAGAAGCACCGGCUAACUACGUG